CCCUCCCAUAGCCUUUUCCGCCUAUAUACCGCCGUCGUCAGCUUACCCUGUGAAGGACUAAUAGUAAGCGCAAUUGGUAGAGCCCAAAACGUCAGGCCGAGGUGUAGUGCAUGAGAGGGGAAGAAAUGGGCUACAUUCGCUGCCCAUCAGCGAAUAACGAAUGAUGCAUUGAAACAUGCAGCUGAAGGAGGAUUUAGCAGUAAGCGGAAAAUAGAGUGUUCCGCUGAAACCGGCUCUUAAGCGCGCACACACCGCCCGUCACCCUCCCCAAGCUCCUGGCCCCCAACAGUACUUUAAGCCCCAACAAAUGCGAAGGAGAGGAAAGUCGUAACAUGGUAAGCGUACCGGAAGGUGCGCUUGGUAAAAU
rnacentral:rRNA from 1 species